UACGGAAGGCAGCAGUGGGGAAUAUUGCACAAUGGGCGAAAGCCUGAUGCAGCUAUGCCGCGUGUAUGAAGAAGGCCUUAGGGUUGUAAAGUACUUUCAUCGGGGAGGAAAAAACAAAACUAAUAAUUUUAUUUCUUGACGUUACCCGAAAAAGAAGCACCGGCUAACUCCGUGCCAGCAGCCGCGGUAAUACGGAGGGUGCUAGCGUUAAUCAGAAUUACUGGGCGUAAAGAGCACGUAGGUGGUUUUUUUAAAGUCAGAUGUGAAAUCCCUGGGCUUAACCUAGGAACUGCAUUUGAAACUGAAAUACUAGAGUAUCGUAGAGGGAGGUAGAAUUCUAGGUGUAGCGGUGAAAUGCGUAGAUAUCUGGAGGAAUACCUGUGGCGAAAGCGGCCUCCUAAACGAAUACUGACACUGAGGUGCGAAAGCGUGGGGAGCAAACAGGGAUUAGAUACC
rnacentral:rRNA from 1 species